AAACUACCUUCUCUAUUGAUGUUCCGUCACCGUGCCGGAUAUUAUAGAUACGAUCGAGUCCAAACAUUUUUUGCCGGUGUAGUUUAGACACAGUGUAUACUGUAUGUGAAAUCACCUUUUCCGUUCGUCUAACAAAUAUUUUCGUCACACUUUUUUCAGCAACAACAAAAUCAGAAUGACUUCUUAUUUGGUCAGCAGCUGGACAGUGAAGAGUUAUAACAUUUGAGCAUUUUUCAGAUCUGUCAGAUACUUACUUCCUGUUUACCGAUAUUUUUUAUUGUUGGAUGGAUGAGCUCUCGGCACAUUUAAUUGAGGAAGACCGUAAAGCUUCACUACCUGCACAUCCCGAAGUUAAAAGGAUACAAUUAGGAAUUGAAAAUGUAUUGAAAACAAUCUUAGGCUGUAUUGCAGAAAAAGACAAACGACUUAAAGGCAAACUGUUACCAGUAGGUAGCUAUUACACUGACUUAAAAAUUGGUUUUCCAGAUGAAUUUGAUUUUCUCUAUGAGCUUGAAACACUUAUUGAAGGAAACAACUUUGAGAUAAGACCGUCUGGAUUUAGAGAUAACAGAAAUUUAUGGAGAACACCAAAUGGAAAUCCAUUGAAGAAAAAAGUUCAAAUCAAGACACCAGAACAUUACUCUAAAAAGAAUGAGAAAUUGAGUUUUAACUGGUUACAUAAAAUAAAUGGAGGCUAUGUCCUAGAUCCUGUGGGUGUAAAAAACACCCUUUAUGAUGCAGUUCUUCAUGAAGCACAGAACCUUGAAAAAUCAAUGCUUCCUAUGUAUUUGUCUCUUGACGGGAAAGGGGAAGCUACAUUCUUCUACGGUCCAGCUACUACUUUAUUCUUUAUUUGGAAUGGAAGAUUUUAUAAAAAUCUUAAAAUUAGUGUGGAUUUAACAGUAUGCAUUAAAGCAGAGAAAUGGAACAAAUAUUUUGACUUUUUAAGACCAAAUUUCAUGGAUCAAUCUAGCUGCUUAAGAAAAUACUUGAAGAAGAAAUUUGUUGCUAUGGUUACCACCUGGUACCUCAUAUUUCUGAUCGUGGCCAUAUUCAAUGGAAAUUGUCUACUUCUUAUUUGGAAACCAGAGUUUUAUCAAGAUUUCCAAAGAAAUCACCCUUGAAACAAGUAAUAAGAAUCGUUAAAUUUAACAAGGAAAAAUUUCUUAAAGUCCGUCCAGAUCUUAGGAUAAUGAAUGAUAAAAUGUUAGCUGAUGUUCUUCAACUGACAAACUUUUACAGUGGAAAUGAUUAUGACGAAAAUUUUAAAAACUUAGUUUCAUCAUACAUAAUAAAGAAUGUAGUUUUCCACCUGUGCGGAUUUGCUACAUGCAAUGAAUGGACAAAAGCUUCCCUUUCAACACUAUAUCUUUUAACACUCACUACACUCUAUGGAGGUUUUAUGAGAAAUUCAAUCAGAAACUUUUUUAUUUCGCACAACAAUUUAACCAUUCCAAAUCAUGGAGAUGUUUUACCUGGGUUUCAGAAAUUAUUUGGAGAAAUCAACAUUGAAAGUUAUCAAAAAAUGUUUUGUCAACUGGACAUAAAAGAUUUUGAUAUGAAUAUAUUUGAAAGUCAACCAUUUGAUCCAUCGGGACUGAAAACAUUCUUUAAAAUUACUAAAGAUGACAUAGAUACAAAUUAUCAUAUUCUGUGGGAGUCAAACUUGCUAAAGUAACAAAAAUUCAUAUCUUUUCGGGCUGGUUGAUAACUUUUAAAAAAACGUGCAGUUCACAAUUAUUUUGAACAGUAAAAUUCUUACUGCAUUGAAAAAUAUGUUUCACAGUAGCAAAUGGAGGUAAAUACAAGCAUAACAUAAUUCUACUAAGAUGUAUUGUGAACAUGUUGCAUUUUGCCUAUGAUAGUCAAAAAGGGAUUAAUUCACAGUAAAAUCAUUUUAGUUUUUUUGAAUGAAUAUUAAUCAUGAAAAAGCUGAAUCAGGUGCAAAAAUAAGAGGCUUUGUUGAUUAAAAGAAAUUAUUAUUCUU